rnacentral:rRNA from 1 species
GGGUGAGUAACACGUAGGGAACCUGCCCGCGCACCGGGAAUACGCUCUGGAAACGGAGAACAAAUCCCGAUGUACAGGAAGGAGGCAUCUUCUUUCUGUGAAACAUCCUUUCGGGGAUGGGGCGCGGAUGGACCUGCGGUGCAUUAGUUGGUUGGCGGGGUAAAGGCCCACCAAGACGAUGAUGCAUAGCCGGCCUGAGAGGGCGGACGGCCACAUUGGGACUGAGACACGGCCCAGACUCCUGCGGGAGGCAGCAGUAGGGAAUUUUCGUCAAUGGGCGCAAGCCUGAACGAGCGAUGCCGCGUGAGUGAAGAAGGCCUUCGGGUCGUAAAGCUCUGUUGCGGGGGAAAAAAGGCAGCAUCAGGAAAUGGGUGCUGACUGAUGGUGCCCCGCCAGAAAGUCACGGCUAACUACGUGCCAGCAGCCGCGGUAAUACGUAGGUGGCGAGCGUUAUCCGGAAUGAUUGGGCGUAAAGGGUGCGCAGGCGGUCCUGCAAGUCUGGAGUGAAACGCAUGAGCUCAACUCAUGCAUGGCUUUGGAAACUGGAGGACUGGAGAGCAGGAGAGGGCGGUGGAACUCCAUGUGUAGCGGUAAAAUGCGUAGAUAUAUGGAAGAACACCAGUGGCGAAGGCGGCCGCCUGGCCUGUUGCUGACGCUGAGGCACGAAAGCGUGGGGAGCAAAUAGGAUUAGAUACCCUAGUAGUCCACGCCGUAAACGAUGAGGACCAAGUGUUGGGGGUGAAACCUCAG